rnacentral:rRNA from 1 species
UCGAGAAUUUUUCUCAAUGGGGGAAACCCUGAAGGAGCGACGCCGCGUGGAGGAUGAAGGUCUUCGGAUUGUAAACUCCUGUCAUUAGGGAACAAUUGUCCGCGAUUAACUGUCGCGGGCUUGAUAGUACCUGAAGAGGAAGAGACGGCUAACUCUGUGCCAGCAGCCGCGGUAAUACAGAGGUCUCAAGCGUUGUUCGGAUUCAUUGGGCGUAAAGGGUGCGUAGGCGGCGGGGCAAGUCAGGUGUGAAAUCUCGGGGCUCAACUCCGAAACUGCACUUGAUACUGCCUUGCUAGAGUACUGGAGAGGAGAUUGGAAUUUACGGUGUAGCAGUGAAAUGCGUAGAUAUCGUAAGGAAGACCAGUGGCGAAGGCGAAUCUCUGGACAGUUACUGACGCUGAGGCACGAAGGCCAGGGGAGCAAACGGGAUUAGAUACCCCCGUAGUCC